CCCCUAGACGUUCUGGGCUGCACGCGCGCUACAAUAAUACGCACAGCGAGUAUCACCGAGCUCGAAAGGGCAAGGUAAACAAUAGAAAAGGUACUGUAAUGGUUAUAGAUCCUUGUAAUUAUCGAUCUUCAACGAGGAAUUCCUAGUAAGUAUGUGUCAUCAUCACGCACUGAUUACGUCCCUGCCCUUUGUACACACCGCCCGUCGCUCCUACCGAUUGGGUGAGCCGAUGAAACUCUCGGAUGUAGGCUAUUCAUAGCCCGCAGAAGAGAUUUGAAUCGUAGCGCUUAGAGGAAGGAGAAGUCGUAACA
rnacentral:rRNA from 1 species